rnacentral:tRNA from 1 species
CUCCUUUCUAAGGGGAUUAUCGGGAGCUUGGUCUCCCGACACUAUCCACCUAGGUCAGUGUUUUUACUCUUCGACAUGGUCCUCAUGCGCGUUAUUCGGUUUUUGGGGGUAUAGCUCAGUGGGUUAGAGCGCACGCCUGAUAAGCGUGAGGUCGGUAGUUCAACUCUACCUACCCCCACCGUUCAGGCUUUUUUGCUCUUUGACAAUCGAAUACAGGUUCACACCAGUAGUAAUCAAGGUAAUACCGAGUGGGAGCGCUUCGGCGCUUGCUACUUGAGACACCGCGAUGCAAUACCUCUAGUAGUGUUGUGGCAAUGAUUUUUGGUCAAGCUACAAAGGGCGUACGGUGGA